AAUCAGGCUCCUGGUCCCACCCCACACUCAGGAGCAGAGCAUGUGCAAACGGGAGCCCGCACCCCUGCUCCCAGACCGCAUCAGGCCCCCAUCCCAAGGCCAGGGGCAGGCCCAAAUGUACCUCGGGCAUCCCAGAAGGAGCAUCUUUCUGAGGCAGAUCAUUCUUUCUGGAAAUGUGGGAACGGAGGACAGGCUCAGGGAGGUGACCGGACAGGAAGCCUUAGGGAUGUCCUGCCAGGCUGGGGGAUCUCUGAGAGAAUGGCCUUUGGUGCCCCAGGCUCAAUAGUGAAAAAACCAUUGAAAGCGGGGCAGGGGGUGGAUCAUGGAGGCGUCUGAAGGAUCCUGAGGUCAGCCCCCACAGGAGGUCCCAGGCUGGUGGUCAGAAGAGAGUCCCAGAUCUUUCACAAGCCACAGUUAAACAGAGAAAAUGACCCCACAGGCCACAGUGGGAGGAGCAGGGACAAGCACACAAAGACAAUUGACUGGAAGGUAAAAAAGUGGAUGCUGCCCACAGAAGGGGAUCCCUGGACCAGCAGUGAAGGGACCCACCGUGAUCGUGGUGAUCUGCUGAGGAUGUGCCGCCACUUGGCUGCAGGCUUCUUUCUUUACAUUUUAAGAUAAGGGGAUGGACUAGGUGAGCCCCAGCGUCCCUUCAGACCCAUUGGCCAUGAACCCAUGCCAAUGCCUAUCCCACCCAUUCUCCAAAAAAAAAAAGGAUUUACUCAUCUGUAUUCUGUAAAAAAAAAAAGAAAGAAAGAAAGAAAGAAAGAAAGAAAGAAAGAAAGAAAGAAAAAGAAAAGAAAAAAAGAAAAAAGAAAAGGGUCUCUCUUCCAGCCCCGCUGCCUUCCGGUCUGGCACAGGUUCAGGGCAAGUGCCGAAGCCUGGAUGUGUGCUGGGAAACAGGCUGCUGCACAGUCCCCUGGCAUCUUUGAAGAUGGGAUCAGACCACACCCCACCUGCUUCGUCCCACCCCACCCUGCUCCACCCGACAGAGUGAGCACCUGUGCCCUCCGCAACUGCCUGCAAGAAUUCAAGUCCAGGACCAACGCUGAGCAGAGAUCAGUUCAACUGUAUUACUUCAAGUUCGUGACCUGCUGUCAAAGUGGAGCUUCUUUGCAAAUGUCUUUGCAAAUGUUUUUCUCCUCUGAGCCCUGGGUCCUAAACCCUCAUAGCUCCUUUCUUCCAACUGGCCAAGUUGGACUAGCAAACCUCCAAAGGAUGGGUAUGACUAAACACGUGCAUUGCCUGCAACUGUUGAAGCCAGUGAAUAAAAUGGGUUCAAUUGCUCUGGCUAAGGACAGGGUGGAAAUUUGGGGCAGGGUGGGGAAUGUGAAAAUGAACAAGAUAAUUAUUUUAGUGUCUUUUAUAGAUCGCAUGCCACUUUGUUAGCUUAGGAGCAUUAAAAAUGUAUAACAUAGGGCUUGUUCUGCUCAUAAAAUGAUCCUCUUUGGCAUAUUAAAAUUUAAAGUAUAGUUUAUUCACGCAGUAAUUACACUUUUACUAAUUGAAUUUACCUUUAAAUAUUUCAAAGUUUUGUAAUAAAUCGAGCUACAAGAUACUGAGCCUCA
rnacentral:lncRNA from 1 species